rnacentral:RNase_P_RNA from 2 species
GAAGUUCGCCAGGCAGUCGCUGCGUACCUCGUGUACGUGGAGGAAAGUCCGGGCCCCGCAGAGCAGGAUGCCGGCUAACGGCCGGGCGCCGCAAGGCGACGGAAAGUGCAACAGAGAGCAAACCGCCGAUGGCCUGUUUCGCAGGCACAGGUAAGGGUGAAACGGUGGGGUAAGAGCCCACCGCAGGACUGGUAACAGGACUGGCACGGCAAACCCCAUCCGGGGCAAGGCCAAAUAGGGGAGCAAUGGCGUGGCUCGCGCUGCUCCCGGGUAGGCUGCUAGAGCGCCGUGGCAACACGGCCCCCAGAGGAAUGACUGCCCGGCGGUCGCGGUUCGCUCCGCGGCCGUUCGACAGAACCCGGCUUAUCGGCGAACUUCCCUC